AGCGAACGCUGGCGGCAGGCCUAACACAUGCAAGUCGAACGAAGUCUUCGGACUUAGUGGCGGACGGGUGAGUAACACGUGGGAACGUGCCUUUAGGUUCGGAAUAACUCAGGGAAACUUGUGCUAAUACCGAAUGUGCCCUUCGGGGGAAAGAUUUAUCGCCUUUAGGACGGCCCGCGUCUGAUUAGCUAGUUGGUGAGGUAAAGGCUCACCAAGGCGACGAUCAGUAGCUGGUCUGAGAGGGUGGUCAGCCGCAUUGGGACUGAGACACGGCCCAAGCUUCUACGGGUGGCAGCAGUGGGGAAUGUUGGGAAAUGGGCGAAAGCCUGACGCAGCCAUGCCUAGUGAAUGAUGAAGGUCUUAGGAUUGUAAAAUUCUUUCACCGGGGACGAUAAUGACGGUACACGGAGAAGAAGCCCCGGCUAACUUCGUGCCAGCCGCCGCAGUAAAAC
rnacentral:rRNA from 1 species